rnacentral:rRNA from 1 species
UACGGAGGAUGCAAGCGUUAUCCGGAAUGAUUGGGCGUAAAGCGUCCGCAGGUGGCUAUGUAAGUCUGCUGUUAAAGAGUGAGGCUCAACCUCAUAAGAGCAGUGGAAACUACAUAGCUAGAGUGCGUUCGGGGCAAAGGGAAUUCCUGGUGUAGCGGUGAAAUGCGUAGAUAUCUGGAGGAACACCGGUGGCGAAGGCGGCGUUCUGGACUGCAACUGACACUGAGGAACGAAAGCCAGGGGAGCAAACGGG